UCGUCGACCGUUUGUUACUUUGUGUGUAAGUGGUUGACUGCGUCGUUUCGCGCACAGAACACAUAAGAAACCAAACUGAAGUGAGAGGAGAGGGUUGGACGGACGAGCGAGAGGCAGACGGAGCCGAGGGAGACACCGACGCGGGGGGAAGUUAGAAGACUGUCGGUGGUCGUGAAGUCAUCCACAAGCUCGCUGUGGACCUGUCAAUGCAUUGGACAGGGGUUAGUGAGUCACCGCACGAUGGAGAAAUAUGAGAAACUGGCUAAAAUAGGAGAAGGUUCUUAUGGCGUGGUGUUCAAGUGUAGAAAUAGAGACACGGACCAAAUCGUCGCCAUCAAAAAGUUUGUGGAAUCAGAAGACGAUCCCAUUAUCAAGAAGAUUGCGCUGAGGGAAAUACGGAUGCUGAAGCAGCUGAAACACGUCAAUCUAGUCAACCUGCUGGAGGUGUUCCGCAGGAAACGCCGCCUCCACCUCGUCUUUGAGUUCUGCGAGCAGACGGUCCUCAACGAGCUUGAAAAACACCCUCGAGGGAUUCCCGAGGCUCAGCUGAAGAGCAUCGUGUGGCAGACGCUACAGGCGGUCAACUUCUGCCACAAGCACAAUUGUAUCCACCGUGACGUCAAACCUGAGAAUAUCCUCCUCACCAAGACUGGAGUCAUCAAGUUGUGCGACUUUGGGUUCGCUCGCAUUCUGACUGGACCUGAUGACGACUACACGGACUACGUGGCAACCCGCUGGUAUAGGGCUCCAGAGCUGUUGGUCGGGGACACUCAAUACGGACCUGCCGUCGAUGUUUGGGCACUAGGAUGCGUCUUUUCUGAGCUCCUUAGUGGGAAUCCGCUCUGGCCAGGAAAGUCCGACGUGGACCAGCUCUACCUCAUCCGUAAAACUCUCGGGGACCUCAUCCCUCGACACCAGCAGGUGUUCCGGUCUAAUGUUUUCUUCAGUGGAGUCAGUAUUCCUGAACCUGACACCACGGAAACUCUGGAAAAGCGAUUCGCUGGUGCGGCAUCCCAGGCUCUCCAAGUCAUGAAGACCGAGUACGAAAACUGUCUUCGAUGGAUCAAACUUUGUGGAAGAUCGCAUGAUCAACUGAAUCCAUCUAAAAUCAACCGGAACAGAUAUGUUUGCACAAAGGCUGUCAUGCGAGGAGCUGCUGGUACUGCCCUACAUCCAUGAGGAGGGUGCUGCGGGCCGGCCCCGCGAGGGGGAAAAUCGUCCCGGGAGACGCCACGACAAAGGCCCCCGGCGCAGACAGACAGGCGCUCAAUACCUGCCACAGUUAACAAACACCAACAUGUCACCUGCGCCGGACACCAAGAAGCCGGCCAAGCACAAGUAUCACCUGCCGAACAUUUAGCCAAUGACCAGCAGCCAUCUUCUUCUUCGUGUGGGAGUGAUUAUUUAUUUUUUUCCACGUCUGUUGUGAACCAAAACUUGACAAACAAGCAAGCUUUGGAUGUUCCCCCUUGAAUAAAGUGGAAAAAAAAUUACCAGUGAAGGUGGGCAAGAAGAGCCACAGUCGCCGAUGCACUUUCAGACGUGUAUGGAACAAGAAAAACGCUCCGUCAUAACAAUUCUGAAAUGAGAACACACUCAAGGAGCUGCUGUAGGUCACAACUCACACCCAGAUGCUCACAUUCCACUAACAGAUUACAGAUCCCAAUCCCCUGACUAAGGCAGACAUGAAAGCUACUGUCUGUGCAGUAAAUACACUUUUUAAAAACAGUUUAUUUUUUCUAUUCUCUUUUAUUAUGAUUUCAACAAUACAGUGCUAUUUUUCUUUAUUAAAGAUUUAAUUAUUUUUUGUAGGUGAUUGGACUUCAAUUGUGACACUUAAUUUGAGUAAAUUGAGUUAUGGGCAUUGUCACAAAAGGAAUUAAACUCAUAAAUCAAGGUACCGUGCUGUAUGCUUGUGGUGCUUUCAGGAAAUGCACCUGAAAUCUGGCGAUGGUACAUUUAGCUGUAUCGUUAGUCACCAAGAAUGCUAUAAUGUCAUGAUCCAAUCAUUAAGUUUGAUUAUAAAUGUUAUAUUUUUAAUGCACUGAAUGUUUACUAGAGAUGACAUCUUAUAAAUCUACAACUUAUCCUGAAGUUUAUAUAGUUUUAAUAAAAUCUAUCCAAUUGAGAUAUUUUUUUUCUCGCUAUAGACAAUAAUUCUAUUUUUUUGAGAUUAUAAUAAUCAUUCUUAUUGUUAAUUUACAGAGCCCAGACAUCACGUAAAUAUAGAUACAACUUUUGCAAAAUACUAAUUUAUUGCCAUUCAAAUAGUCAAUUAUGGCUAUAAAAUACAUAAUUUGUGGCCACAAAUUUGGUAUAAUGUGCACAGAAAUUACAAAUAGUAUCACUGUGCUAUUAUUGCUGAACAAUUGACUCAGCAAAUGGGGUGAAAUGUGUUUUGUUAUGGAGUAAGGCCUCUGCCCCAAGCUAGCUUUUAGAGUUAGUAGCUGCCCGCAACCCCUCACACUGGUGUUGGGGCCGUCCAACUCGCCAUGGCCCCACCCCUUGCAGGCCAAGACAACAGAGACACUUCCUGGGACGAUACAGUAACUGACUUUUAUGUGGGCUAGCACGCGAGUUAACAAUCUCUCCGUCACUAUUUUGCAUUGUGUUUCCACACAGUUCUGUAGAUGGAGAGGGGGCUCUCUUUUUCACAUUUUGGAUCCUCAUAUUAUCCAUCCAUUUUCUUAGCCGCUUAUCCUCACAAGGGUCACAGGAAGUGCUGGAGCCUAUCCUAGUGUCAACGGGGAGGAGGAAGUGUACACCCUGAACUGAUUGCCAGCUAAUUGCAGGGCAUAUUGAGACAGAGAACAGUUGUACUCACAAUCACACCUCGAGUCAAUUUAGAGUGUCCAAUUAAUGUUGCGUGUUUUGGAGAUAUGGGAGGAAACCGGA